AGCAGAAAUGCUGCCAGAGUCCAAGGUGAAGCAAUGGGAGCCUUCUGGGGGAAAAGACUCUCUUGGGAAAAGCCUUGGGUGACAGAGCUCAGAGAACACAACACAGGUGCAGCAGGGAGGAUUAAGAGUUGUCAAAAGUCCUUUUCACAAGAAGGAGCUACUAAUAUUCAGAGAUGUUUUUCCCAGUUCUGGUUCCAGUGAUGUCAUGCAACACAAUACCACCAUUACAUAAUUUGUGGCCUGUCUUGCCUCCCUUAAGUACUCCACCUGAUUUGGAUCAUGAGGGCCACAUCAGUGAAGGUGUCAUCUGAAGAAGAAAAAAGUGCUCCUGAGCAGAACAGUGUGUCACACCUCCAUGAGGAAAAGCGGAAACAGGUUCCUGUGUGCUACCGACACUGACUCCUGUGCUGGGAGAUGCUUCUUCUGAUUUGUCAGUCUUCCUUUCAGUCACCUGUAGAGAGUGGAGGACCCAUUAGUAUGGAUUACCGGAGCUACUCACUGAACAAAAUUAGAUUUUUGUACCCACUGGGGGUUAUGACUGAAGAAAAACAAGAAUUCAAGAUCAAUGCAGACGCUGAAUGUGUUUUGGAAAUGUGUAUUGUUAAUCUCUUUUGUAUAAGGUACAGGGAUAUGAAUUCAAUAUUAUUAAUCAUGUUUAUUAUGGUAACACCUAAGGAUAUUGACGA